UCUAAUGUGGCAGAGUAGUGCAUUGUAUUUAAGCUACAAAAAAGAAAAUUAUACUUCUUUUAGAA
rnacentral:tRNA from 1 species